rnacentral:rRNA from 1 species
CCUACGGGAGGCAGCAGUGAGGAAUAUUGGUCAAUGGACGAGAGCCUGAACCAGCCAAGUAGCGUGAAGGAUGACUGCCCUAUGGGUUGUAAACCUCUUUUAUAUGGGAAUAAAAUGUUCCACGUGUGGGAUUUUGUAUGUACCAUAUGAAUAAGGAUCGGCUAACUCCGUGCCAGCAGCCGCGGUAAUACGGAGGAUCCGAGCGUUAUCCGGAUUUAUUGGGUUUAAAGGGUGCGUAGGUGGAUUGUUAAGUCAGUUGUGAAAGUUGGGGGCUCAACCGUAGAAUUGCAGUUGAAACUGGCAGUCUUGAGUACGGUAGAGGUAGGCGGAAUGCGUGGUGUAGCGGUGAAAUGCUUAGAUAUCACGCAGAACUCCGAUUGCGAAGGCAGCUCACUGGACUGCAACUGACGCUGAGGCUCGAAGGUGUGGGUAUCAAACAGGAUUAGAUACCCGAGUAGUC